CGCAACUUGCGCCCUUUGGUAUUCCUUAGGGCACGCCUGUUUGAGUGUCAUGUUUUCAACCCAGCUGUGGCUUGUUUUCUUUACUGAAUCGAGCCUCUGCAUGGACUUAGAAUGAGCGCACUUGUUCUUUAACUACAGAAGAACUCGCUCGAAAUAAAAGACAAAGAGAUGGUUCUUCGUCGCGGUUAUAUUACAUUAAUCAAAGCGAAGACAGAACUGUCGAAAGAGAGAAAUUACAAGACCUCAAAUCAGGCGGGAUUACCCGCUGAACUUAA
rnacentral:misc_RNA from 1 species